rnacentral:rRNA from 1 species
CCUCGAUGUCGGCUCAUCGCAUCCUGGGGCUGGAGAAGGUCCCAAGGGUUGGGCUGUUCGCCCAUUAAAGUGGCACGCGAGCUGGGUUCAGAACGUCGUGAGACAGUUCGGUCCCUAUCUGUUGCGAGCGUAAGAAACUUGAGUAGAUCUGACUUUAGUACGAGAGGACCGAGUUGGACUAACCGCUGGUGUACCAGUUGUCUCGCCAGGGGCAUUGCUGGGUAGCUAUGUUGGGAAGGGAUAAGCGCUGAAAGCAUCUAAGCGCGAAACCCACUACAAGAUGAGGUUUCUUUAAAGGGACGUUAUAGAUGAUGACGUUGAUAGGCUGCAGGUAUAUAGGUAGUAAUAUCAGAGCUGAGCAGUACUAAUU